UUACUCUAUUUGUAAAUUGCACAUCAUAGCUGCCCCGGGGGCGGCGGGACGUGGAGCUGAACGCUCAUCUGCAGGGCAACGGCUGCGUUGUGCUUGGAAGCAGCGGUGGGAGGAAGGAGCAGCUGCACCCGUAGGACAGUGCCCACAUCUCUCCCCCCGCCCCAUGGCACACAGACACCCACCCACCCUCCAGACAGAAAUACCUGCUGCAGGGAUGGGCAAACGCACCGAUCAGUGUGGGGCCCCUCCGGUGCCAGUGGGGCAGCAGUGGGGCAGCAGUGGGGCAGCAGUGGGGCCCGGAGCGGAGCUGCCGCCGUCCGGUUAUCACAAGAGGUAGUGAGAACAGUGCAGAAAGGACACAACUCAGAGCGCUCCGUUUCCAACCACUUUGCUGACCUUCCCCAGUGCCACAGAUCGGCACUGGGAUGCAGUCUAGGGGGGCAGGGGCUGUGGGAAAACCCCCAUGGGGCUCCGGGCAUCAGUAAAGUGCUGCUGGCGCUGGGCUGGGGGACGUGGGAUCCCCCAGGAGUGCCAUGCUGAGCUCUGCAUGCAGCCCCCCCGGGGCUCUAUUGCUUUGGGGAAUGGGGGGGCUGCACACNNNNNNNNNNNNNNNNNNNNCCCACUCCCCCCAUUUGGCACCACUACGCCCAGGGCGCAUCGCAGGACUCCGAAACGCACCCAGAGCACUCAGCAGUGAGAGGGCAGAACCUUCCAGAAAAUUCCUAAAGGACUCCGGAAGAGGACUCAGAGCAUCAGAGCUCCCAGGGAUGCGCUGUGUCCAUGGGGGCUCCGGUGCACAGAACCCAAACGGCUCUGACCCCGUCCCCAACCUCCCCCGGCGCUGUAGUGCAAAACUCAGGAAUGGAAUGAUGUUACCAGCAGUGAGACGCCCAGCACAGCUGCAAUCCUACUGCCUGUGGAUGGCACGGCACCAUACGGUGCUCACACCGACCCUAAGGGCACUGGGACCACGCUCAAACUGGCCCUAAGGACGACAGGACCCCAAACUAUGCUCACACCGACCCUAAGAGCACCAGGACCCCAAACGGUGCUCACACCAACCCUAAGGGCACUGGGACCCCAAAAGGCACUCACACCAACCAUAGGACAGAGCAACUCCAGAUGGUGCUCACACCGACUCCAAGGGCAAUGGGACCCCAAACUGUACUCGCACUGAGCCUAAGGAUGCUGAGACCCCAAAUGGAGCUCACACUGACUCUAUGAACAGUGGGACCCCAAAAUGUGCUCACACUGACCCUAAGGACAGCGAGACCAUAAACCAUGCUCACACCAACCCUAAGGAGAGUGGGACUGUGCUCACACCAAUCCUAAGAGCACCGGGACCCCAAACAGUGCUCACACCGACCCUAAGGACAGCAGGACCCCCAAAACCCCGCUCACACAGACGCUAAGGGCGGUGGGACCCCAAACGGCGCUCACACCGACCCGAACGGAGCCCAACCCACGUCCUGGCUGAGGGACGGACAGAUGGACGGACAGACGGCGGCUCACCACCACAGAGCAGCACUGGGAGCAGAGCACAGCAGUUCACCCUCUGGCUGUCGUCCCCUGCAGCGCCGGGUGAGGA
rnacentral:lncRNA from 1 species